CUACCUUGGCCUCCCAAAGUGCUGGGAUUAUAGGGUGAGCCAUCGCGCCCGGCCCCUUUUGAUUUCUUUACAGAAUAUUGCUGUAGUAUAACUUUUUUCCAUGCACUUAAUUUUUGUUCCCUUGUUGGCAUAUUUCAUUUUCUUCCCUGAAAAUGGGUAGACUGAGAUAAGGUAUGAGGAAGCCUUGGCCAUGCCACCAGCCGCUUAUCCCAAAUUCCUGAUCCCUGGAAGACAUCUGGGCUCUCCCUCCUGUUCCAGCCCAGUAGCUUCCAGCAAAGGUACUGGCUCAAUUGGACACGGAGUGUGGAACUGCCUGCUCACACUUGUGAACCCCCGUCCAGAAGGAAGAAACAGAAAGGGCCCAGUGAGUAUAGGAAGAUGCCAGGGCCCACUGUGGAAAGCCUGGAGCCAAGUUUUUCUUAAAUGCAAAUGUCCCCAGUGUGGGGUCACGUCCAAGCUCCAGAAGGAAGCCUGGCCUGGGCGGGGGGGUGGGAGGGCUGUUGCUAGAACCUGUCAAUCCUGCUCCACACUUCCGAGUUUUCCGUGGCUUCUCCUGAAACCCGGGCCUAGGGGGUGGGGCUUGAUUCCUAUCCUAGGGGUACUGGGCGGGGUCGUGUAAAUUAUCCAAUCAGGCGCUCCGCCAGGAGGGUGGGGCCAAGCUCCGCAAGUCUAAGGGGCUCCUGUUCCCCUAACCCACUGAAUUCAGCCUUCCAGAGGCCGAGGUGGCUCCACCACAGCUUCUGUCCGGUGGUGACCAGCACUGAUCUCCGGAGCCAAGGGAGGACCCGGGACACCUGGGAGCCGGGAAAUGCUGCAGCCCAAGAGGCCAACUGGAACGUUAACAUCAGACACUAAUCCAGCUGACUGAAAGGGACAGAGCAAGAUGGCGGAAUAGAAAGCUCCCCUGAUCAUCCUCCUGCAAGGACACCAAAUUAACAACUAUCACACAGAAAAAACACCUUCAUGAGAACCAAAAAUCAGAAAUUAAAACUUCAGUCCUGCCUGAAUUGUUUGAAGAUGAAUAGACUGAAUGUUCUGGAAGAGGGCUCAACCACAGGUCUUGAAAUAUCGUUGAUGGGCAACUUGUUCUCUAAGUGAAGGAAUGUUGUCGUCAUCACCUACUGAAGCCAGGUUCCUAUAGG
rnacentral:lncRNA from 1 species